AUUGCAAGAUAGAGAUGAAAUCCUGUGUCAGUUGAAGUUUAAUUUACAAAGGGCCCAAAAUCGAAUGACAAUAGUAGCUAAUAAACAUCGUCAGGAUGUCUCUUAUAAUGUGGGUGACUUUGUAUUUCUUAAAUUAUGACCUCACGGCCAGCACUCUCUUCAUGCCAGAGUUAACCAAAAACUUUCAGCACGAUGCUAUGGGCCAUACAAGAUAAUACAAAGGGUAGGGUCAGUGGCAUUUCUUCUUCAAUUGCCUGAUGGUGUCCGAA
rnacentral:misc_RNA from 1 species